rnacentral:lncRNA from 13 species
CAUGUCAAGCAAAUCCCUGUCUUCUCGAGAUCCAUAAGGAGAAGGAUUUCCUGAAACAGAAACUCUUGUCUUCACUGCGCAGGUCCUGCAGACUUCUUCCUGAUGUCCAUGUGAGUUGAUCCUACUUGCUUCUUUGGAGAAUGUUACAACCAGAGAGAAAAGGGUGAUGAUGGGGGGCGCAGAUGCUGUAAAUCUUCAUAGUAUUUACAUUUUUUCUAGAUGAGAUGGUAAACUACUGGAGAGUCUCGAGCAGCAGAGUGUUAAAUUAAGCUGAACCUAAAGCUGCCUUCUUACAUAUUUUAAGUUCAGCCUGAAGGUCUCUUCUUACACAGUGAGCUAUAAACUAACUGGAUGUGUAAACAGACUAUAACCUACUCUCGUGUCAAUCACUGAGUUUCUGCCAAUCACAGGUGGCCAGCUGUUCAAAUGGGGUUCAAAGAAGGCAAACACUGAACUGUAACCAAUCCAGCUGUUUCUGUAUCUCACUUCGGUUUUCAGUAUGUCAUUCUCCUUUUUCUGUCCAUAAAUUUUAUUUGACUGUGCACAGCUCCAGGCUCUGCCUGAACUUAUUCUGGUUUGGGGGCUGUCCAACUUGGGAAUUGUCAUUUGUUCAAUUAAAGUAUUUUAAAUUUAAUUUGUCUAAGGUUUUCUUUUAACAAGAGUGAGUUUAGUUUAAUGAAAAUUCAAAAAAGGCUAUUUUAGCAGAAUAUGCUUACUGCUCUGAAAAUUGUAAAAAACAGGAGGAAGAAGCAAGACACGUUAGAAGGCUAUUGUGAUCGCCACAUAAGAGAUGCCUGUGGCUUGGACCAGUUGGCCAUGAAUGUGAGCGAGGGUGGAAUCUGGUUGUAUGUUGAAGGCAGAGCCCAAGGAUCGUCUGAGGAAGCCCAUGUAGUGUAUGAAAGGGAAGAGUCAAGAACCGCCCCAAGGCUUUUAGGUUAGAAUUGUGUACCUUCUUUUUACAGGCUGGGUGAGACAUACAGGGGAAAAGGAAGUAUGGUGCUGGCAUCUGCUCAGCUUCUGGGAAGGCCUCAGGAAGUUUCCAAUCAUGGCAGAAGGGGAAGGGGAAGCAGGCGCCUCACAUCGCAAAGGCAGGAGCAAGAAGCAGAGAGAGCAUUGUUUGAUGGGAUUCUGUUGGUUUCACUGGAGGCAUUAGUCACCGUGAGCAGGAAAAUGAUGAUUCCCCUGAUUCUCCCAAGAGACAAUGUGCUGGGGUGCUAUGCAGAAGUCGGGUGGGAGCACAGUGGCAUGAUCAUGGCUCAAUGCAGCUUUGAAUUCCCAGGCUCGAACAAUCGUCCCACCUCAGCCUCCCGAAUAGCUGGAACUAUAUACGUGCACCAUCAUGCCUGGGUAAUGUUUAAAAAUUGGUAUGUUGUGAUGGGGUCUUAAUUUGUUGUCUAGGUUGGUCUCAAACUCCUGGGCUCUCACUUCCCAAAAUGUUAGGAUUAUGGGUUUGAACCACCACACCUGGCCAACAAUAUGAUUUUCUAAUAUAGAAAAAUACAAAACAGUCUAGUCAAACUAUUAAGAUUAAUGAGGAAGCUUAGCAAGUUUGUUAGCUAUAAGACCAUCAUAACAAUAAUAUAAACCCUUGUAAGUGUCCUCUAUACCCCAAAUUACCAAUGAGUUCCUUAGUCCCAAAUCUAACAAGAGAAAAAUUCUAAAUUAAGAAAAAGUAUUAUGUUUGAAUGGGAAGUAUUAGCAGUAUAAAUAAUCCUAUCUAAUUAGGUUUAUAAAAUAAAUUAUAUGACUGCUAAAAUCCUCA